CAGAACUGUGGCCCAUUCACCCCUUCCCUCAAGACAAGAGUGUGGCCAAGCAUCAAUCUCACCCCCAGAGACCAGACGGUGUCCAGGUCUUGGGCAGACGAAACCUGCUCCUUGGGGAUGGUCUUCCUGGCUGUGCUUCCAAAGGGCUGGCCUGCAAUCAGCUGGUUUUCACUUGAUCCUUUCGGGGUUUGCAUUAUAUCUGACUGAAGGAAUGAACUGGGAGAGAACAGCAGAGCCGCAGCGGAAUGUGGAAAGGCCCACGUCCAGACUGUUCCCAUUCUGGUUUAAAAGCCUGAUGAAGGAACAGCUGAACUCAGAGAAACAGCAGGUGAAAGAAGCUGAUUACUCUAGGUACCUAUGAGGGUGGAGUCAUACAGUAUUUGUUUUUGUGACUGGCUGAUUUCACUCAGCGUAAUGUGGAGAAGGUGAUGUGAAGAUGGAGCAGAGAGAGACCUGAAGAUGCUGGCGUUGAAGGCUGCAGGGAUGCAGCCACAAGCCAAGGAGUGCCUGCUCUCACCAGAAGCUGAAAGAGGCAAGGAAUGUCUUCUUCUAUAGAACCUACAGAGGGAGUACCCUGCCAACACCUUUAUUUGGGCCCAGUGAUACUAUCAGACUUCAGAACCCCAGGUGCUGAGAUGUUUUCCAGGACUAGGAUGAAGUCUCCAUCUUGUGGCUAAAUUAAGUUCUGCAGUCACUCAACAUUAUGAACGUCAAGAUCCAAGUCAAUUUAGUGGAGCAGCGUAGAUUAGGUGGAAAGGUCCUGUGAGGGUACAGUGAGAAGAUGGCCAUCUACCAGCCAGGAGGAAAGGCCUAACAAGAAACCAACUCUGCUGGCACCUUGAUCGUGAACUCCCGCCCUCUAGAACUGUGAGAAAAUAAACGUCUGUUUAAGCCACCUGGUCUGUGGUAUUUUGUUAUGGAAG
rnacentral:lncRNA from 10 species